ensembl:snRNA U6 U6 spliceosomal RNA
GUGCUCACUUCGGCAGCUUGUACACUAAAAUUGGAACAAUACAGAGAAGAUUACCAUGGCCCCUGCGCAAGGAUGACAUGCAAAUUUGUGAAGUGUUCCAUAUUUUU